rnacentral:rRNA from 1 species
AACAGGAUUAGAUACCCUGGUAGUCCAUGCCGUAAACGAUGAUAACUAGCUGUCGGGGCUCUUAGAGCUUCGGUGGCGCAGCUAACGCAUUAAGUUAUCCGCCUGGGGAGUACGGCCGCAAGGUUAAAACUCAAAUGAAUUGACGGGGGCCUGCACAAGCGGUGGAGCAUGUGGUUUAAUUCGGAGCAACGCGCAGAACCUUACCAGCGUUUGACAUGUCCGGACGAUUUCGGGAGACCGAUCUCUUCCCUUCGGGGACUGGAACACAGGUGCUGCAUGGCUGUCGUCAGCUCGUGUCGUGAGAUGUUGGGUUAAGUCCCGCAACGAGCGCAACCCUCGUCCUUAGUUGCCAUCAUUUAGUUGGGCACUCUAAGGAAACCGCCGGUGAUAAGCCGGAGGAAGGUGGGGAUGACGUCAAGUCCUCAUGGCCCUUACGCGCUGGGCUACACACGUGCUACAAUGGCGGUGACAGUGGGCAGCAAUCUCGCAAGGGUGAGCUAAUCUCCAAAAGCCGUCUCAGUUCGGAUUGUUCUCUGCAACUCGAGAGCAUGAAGGCGGAAUCGCUAGUAAUCGCGGAUCAGCAUGCCGCGGUGAAUACGUUCCCAGGCCUUGUACACACCGCCCGUCACACCAUGGGAGUUGGAUUCACCCGAAGGCAGUGCGCUAACCGCAAGGAGGCAGCUGACCACGGUGGGUUCAGCGACUGGGGUGAAGUCGUAACAAGGUAACC